rnacentral:rRNA from 1 species
UACGUAGGGUGCGAGCGUUGUCCGGAAUUAUUGGGCGUAAAGGGCUCGUAGGCGGUUUGUCGCGUCGGGAGUGAAAACUCAGGGCUUAACCCUGAGCCUGCUUCCGAUACGGGCAGACUAGAGGUAUGCAGGGGAGAACGGAAUUCCUGGUGUAGCGGUGAAAUGCGCAGAUAUCAGGAGGAACACCGGUGGCGAAGGCGGGUCUCUGGGAAGUAACUGACGCUGAGACACGAAAGCGUGGGUAGCAAACAGG